rnacentral:snRNA from 1 species
AGCUUUGAGUAGUGCAUUAUUGUAGCCAAUGAGGUUUAUCCAAGGCAUGAUAAUUGCUAAUUGAAAACUAGGCACACAAUCAU